rnacentral:rRNA from 1 species
UACGAACCGUACAAACGUUAUUCGGAAUCACUGGGCUUAAAGGGUGCGUAGGCGGCCAUGUAAGUGAGGUGUGAAAUCCCUCGGCUCAACCGAGGAGCUGCGCUUCAUACUGCAUGGCUUGAGGGAGACAGGGGUAAGCGGAACUGAUGGUGGAGCGGUGAAAUGCGUUGAUAUCAUCAGGAACACCGGUGGCGAAAGCGGCUUACUGGGUCUCUUCUGACGCUGAGGUACGAAAGCUAGGGUAGCGAACGGG